UACGUAGGGCGCAAGCGUUGUCCGGAAUUAUUGGGCGUAAAGAGCUCGUAGGCGGUCUGUCGCGUCGGCUGUGAAAGCUCGGGGCUCAACUCCGAGCUUGCAGUCGAUACGGGCAGGCUAGAGUUCGGCAGGGGAGACUGGAAUUCCUGGUGUAGCGGUGAAAUGCGCAGAUAUCAGGAGGAACACCGGUGGCGAAGGCGGGUCUCUGGGCCGAUACUGACGCUGAGGAGCGAAAGCGUGGGGAGCGAACAGG
rnacentral:rRNA from 1 species